rnacentral:misc_RNA from 1 species
AUAUGGGUGUACUAUGGCAGGGAGG